rnacentral:pre_miRNA from 1 species
UGAUGAUUAUAAUGGUGAUGAUGAUGGUGAUGAUGGUGGUAAUGAUGAUGAUAAUGGUGGUGUUGGUGGUGACCAUCAUCAUCACCAUCAUCAUCAUCACCUGCA